rnacentral:rRNA from 1 species
GAUGAACGCUAGCGGCAGGCCUAAUACAUGCAAGUCGAGCGGCAAGUCGAGAAGCAAUUCGAGACCUAGAGCGGCGUACGGGUGCGUAACGCGUAUGCAACCUACCUCAUACAGGGGGAUAGCCCGGAGAAAUCUGGAUUAAUACCCCAUAGUACAACGCGAGGGCAUCUGAGUGUUGUUAAAGAUUCAUCGGUAUGAGAUGGGCAUGCGUCUUAUUAGCUAGUUGGCGGUGUAACGGACCACCAAGGCGACGAUCAGUAGGGGUUCUGAGAGGAAGGGCCCCAAGACGGGACCUGAGAUACGGGGCAGACUCCUACGGGAGGCAGCAGUAGGGAAUAUUGGGCAAUGGUCGGAAGACUGACCCAGCCAUGCCGCGUGCAGGAAGACGGCGUUCUGCGUUGUAAACUGCUUUUAUCUGGGAAGAAAAGGCCCAUGCGUGGGACAUUGCCGGUACCAGAUGAAUAAGCACCGGCUAACUCCGUGCCAGCCGCCGCAGUAAAAC